rnacentral:rRNA from 1 species
UCCGGAGGGUGCAAGCGUUGUUCGGAUUUACUGGGCGUAAAGCGCGCGCAGGUGGAUGAACAAGUCGGAAGUGAAAUCUCGAGGCUCAACCUCGAGGCUGCUCCCGAAACUGUUCGUCUAGGGACUGGUAGAGGCUGGUAGAAUUCCCGGUGUAGCGGUGAAAUGCGCAGAUAUCGGAAGGAACACCAGUGGCGAAAGCGGCUUCCUGGUCCAGCACCGACGUUCAGGCACGAAAGCGUGGGGAGCAAACAGG